GAGUUUGAUCAUGGCUCAGAACGAACGUUGGUUGGCACGCUUAACACAUGCCAGUCGAACGAGAAACCCGAGCUUGCUCGGGUGGACAGUGGCAGACGGCUUAGUAACGCGUGGGUAUCUACCUAGACGUUUGGAACAACUAUUGGAAACGAUUGCUAAUACCAGAUAUUCCCUAAGGGGGAAAAAUUUAUCGCCUUUAGAUGAGCCCGCGUCGGAUUAGCUUGUUGGUAGGGUAAAGGCCUACCAAGGCAACGAUCCGUAGCUGGUCUGAGAGGAUGAUCACCAAGAUUGGGACUGAGACACGGCCCAGACUCCUACCGGAGGCAGCAGUGGGGAAUAUUGCGCAAUGGGGGAAACCCUGACGCAGCGAUGCCGCGUGAGUGAAGAAUGCCUUAGGGUUGUAAAACUCUUUCACCGGUGAAGAUAAUGACGGUAGCCGGAGAAGAAGCCCCGGCUAACUCCGUGCCAGCAGCCGCGGUAAUACGGAGGGGGCUAACGUUGUUCGGAAUUACUGGGCGUAAAGCGCGCGUAGGCGGAUUAGACAGUUGAGGGUGAAAUCCCGGAGCUUAACUCCGGAACUGCCUUCAAUACUACUAAUCUUGAGUUCGGAAGAGGUGAGUGGAAUUCCUAGUGUAGAGGUGAAAUUCGUAGAUAUUAGGAAGGACAUCAGUGGCGAAGGCGACUCACUGGUCCGAUACUGACGCUGAGGUGCGAAGCGUGGGGAGCAAACAGGAUUAGAUACCCUGGUAGUCCACGCCGUAAACGAUGGAAGCUAGUUAGUCGGGCGGCAUGCCGUUCUGUGACACAGCUAACGCAUUAAGCUUCCCGCCUGGGGAGUACGAUCGCAAGAUUAAAACUCAAAGGAAUUGACGGGGGCCCGCACAAGCGGUGGAGCAUGUGGUUUAAUUUGAAGCAACGCGCAGAACCUUACCAGCCCUUGACAUUCCGGUCGCAGAAAGUAGAGAUAUCUUCUUUCAGUUAGGCUGGACCGGUGACAGGUGCGGCAUGGCUGACGUCAGCUCGGGUCGUGAGAUGUUGGGUUAAGUCCCGCAACGAGCGCAACCCUCGCCUUUAGUUGCCAUCAUUAAGUUGGGCACUCUAGAGGGACUGCCGGUGAUAAGCCGGAGGAAGGUGGGGAUGACGUCAAGUCCUCAUGGCCCUUAUGGGCUGGGCUACACACGUGCUACAAUGGUACUUACAAUGGGACGCGAAGAGGCGACUCUUAGCUAAUCCCUAAAAUGUACCUCAGUUCGGAUUGUACUCUGUAACUCGAGUGCAUGAAGCUGGAAUUGCUAGUAAUCGCGGAUCAGCGCGCCGCGGUGAAUACGUUCCCGGGUGUUGUACACACCGCCCGUCACACCAUGGAAGUUGGUUACACCUUAAGGCAAAGCUUAUACCUUUGACUACGGUACGAUCAGCAACUGGGGUGGGGUCGUAACAAGGUAACC
rnacentral:rRNA from 1 species